GUCAUAGUGUUAUACAUAAAUAAUGUGUUUAAACAGUAGAAAAUAUGUUAAGUAAUGUGGUUUAAGGUGAUAUGAUGUGUGUGAAAUAAAAGGGGGGAGUGUCUUUGUGAGUAGGGGUUUGUUACAGGUAUGUAUGUAUAGUAGAAUGUCAUUGGCUCAUAGUUGUCUGUCAUAGGCCUGGAUUAAGUUGGGUUUUGCUGUUAGUUUUGUAGCACACUACUUUGUAAGAAAUAAUGGCUUUCAGUAGCCCUACUAAAAUACCACGUGUGGAGGGAGAAGAAUUUUUGAGAAUCAGAGAGAAGUUCUGUUUAUUAGCAUAUGCGGUGUUGGAUGAGACAGUGUGCAAAGGGGAUUUGCAGAAGGAUUUGACAGAGCUAGGAGUGAAGGUCAUGAGGAAAGUAUCUGCAAUGGAUGCAGAAAGAAAAUAUCUGCGUAAGGAGUUGGCAGACACAGUCUGCAGGUUGAAGAAUACAGAAAAGGAGCUGGAAGUGGCAAGGGCCUCCCUGGAUUUUCAGGGAGAUGAUAUUUUGGAAGAUGGCAGAGAAGAUGGGAGUGAAAUUGAAGACUUGGAUAUUGUGGAAGAAGUGAAUGUAGAUGAAUAAAGGGGAC
ensembl:lncRNA